UACGGAGGGGGCUAGCGUUGUUCGGAAUUACUGGGCGUAAAGCGCACGUAGGCGGCUUUGUAAGUUAGAGGUGAAAGCCCGGAGCUCAACUCCAGAACUGCCUUUGAUACUGGCGAGCUUGAGUCCGGGAGAGGUGAGUGGAACUGCGAGUGUAGAGGUGAAAUUCGUAGAUAUUCGCAAGAACACCAGUGGCGAAGGCGGCUCACUGGCCCGGUACUGACGCUGAGGUGCGAAAGCGUGGGGAGCAAACAGG
rnacentral:rRNA from 1 species